UGAGUCGACUAGGCGGUCGCGUUAGGGUGGUUGUCUGCCCUACCGAGGAACGUCCGGGCUCUAUAGAGCAUGGUGGUGGGUAACGCCCACCCGGGGUGACCCGCGGGACAGUGCCACAGAAAACAGACCGCUGCGAUGGAUUUCGGUUCGUCGCAGUAAGGGUGAAACGGUGGUGUAAGAGACCACCAGCGUGCCGGGUGACCGGUGCGGCUCGGUAAACCCCACCAGGAGCAAGGUCAGGCAGGAUACGUUCGAGGGCUGCUCGCCUAAGUAUCCGGGUAGACCGCUAGAGGGUGUCGGCAACGGCACUCGUAGAUGGAUGACCGCUACCCGCCUGCUGGCAACGGCAGACGGUGACAGAACCCGGCGUAUCGGUCGACUCAUCCG
rnacentral:RNase_P_RNA from 1 species